rnacentral:rRNA from 1 species
CCUACGGGAGGCAGCAGUGGGGGAUAUUGCACAAUGGGGGAAACCCUGAUGCAGCGACGCCGCGUGAGUGAAGAAGUAUUUCGGUAUGUAAAGCUCUAUCAGCAGGGAAGAAAAUGACGGUACCUGACUAAGAAGCCCCGGCUAACUACGUGCCAGCAGCCGCGGUACUACGUAGGGGGCAAGCGUUAUCCGGAUUUACUGGGUGUAAAGGGAGCGUAGACGGCGAUGCAAGUCUGAAGUGAAAGGCGGGGGCCCAACCCCUGGACUGCUUUGGAAACUGUAUGGCUGGAGUGCAGGAGAGGUAAGUGGAAUUCCUAGUGUAGCGGUGAAAUGCGUAGAUAUUAGGAGGAACACCAGUGGCGAAGGCGGCUUACUGGACUGUAACUGACGUUGAGGCUCGAAAGCGUGGGGAGCAAACAGGAUUAGAUACCCUUGUAGUC